rnacentral:rRNA from 1 species
AAACCGUUCGGGGGUAAACGGACAGAGCCCGUGAAUCCGGGCGACGGAAUUCAGAAUCGACGGCGUUCGCGCGUCGUCGGUUUGAUAUUUCCGUCGCCGUAACCAUUGUACGGACGUCGCGACCCGUUCGGUGUCGGUCUGAGGAGACGUGUAAAAGUUCGCCGACGUUUUGCGUCCAUUCGUGGGUGCGCGUCGACGAGUGCGCGUUCUUGUUUUCUGGCCGACUCGCCGGACGGUACGCGUAACGGUGACCGCGGCGACCUUUCACGAGCGUCGUCGUCGGUACCGGUCUGCGACGAAUCUUCGGGCCUCUUUCCGA